CUUGUGGACUGUUAUAGCAAAUGAGAGUAGUAUAUCUCACGGUAUAAGAACAAAACCAGACAGGUUGAAGCAAGAA
rnacentral:ncRNA from 1 species